rnacentral:rRNA from 1 species
GACGAACGCUGGCGGCGUGCUUAACACAUGCAAGUCGAACGGUGAUCUUGGGAGCUUGCUCCUGGGUGAUCAGUGGCGAACGGGUGAGUAACACGUGAGUAACCUGCCCCUGACUCUGGAAUAACUUCGGGAAACCGAAGCUAAUACCGGAUAUGACACAGAGCCGCAUGGUUUCUGUGUGGAAAGUUUUUUCGGUUGGGGAUGGACUCGCGGCCUAUCAGCUUGUUGGUGAGGUAAUGGCUCACCAAGGCGACGACGGGUAGCCGGCCUGAGAGGGCGACCGGCCACAAUGGGACUGAGACACGGCCCAGACUCCUACGGGGGGCAGCAGUGGGGAAUAUUGCACAAUGGGCGAAAGCCUGAUGCAGCGACGCCGCGUGAGGGAUGAAGGCCUUCGGGUUGUAAACCUCUUUCAGUAGGGAAGAAGCGCAAGUGACGGUACCUACAGAAGAAGCACCGGCUAACCACGUGCCAGCAGCCGCAGUAAAAC